GACGAACGCUGGCGGCGUGCUUAACACAUGCAAGUCGAACGGAAAGGCCCUGCUUUUGUGGGGUGCUCGAGUGGCGAACGGGUGAGUAACACGUGAGUAACCUGCCCUUGACUUUGGGAUAACUUCAGGAAACUGGGGCUAAUACAGGAUAGGAUCUCCUGCAGCAGGGUGGGGAUUGGAAAGUUUCGGCGGUUGGGGAUGGACUCGCGGCUUAUGAGCUUGUUGGUGGGGUAGUGGCUUACCAAGGCUUUGACGGGUAGCCGGCCUGAGAGGGUGGACGGCCACCUUGGGCCUGCGGUACGGCCCAGACUCCAACGGUAGGCAGCAGUGGGGAACAUUGCACAAUGGGCGGAAGCCUGAUGCAGCAACGCCGCGUGCGGGAUGCCGGCCUUCGGGUUGUAAACCGCUUUCGCCUGUGACGAAGCGUUAGUGACGGUAAUGGGUAAAGAAGCACCGGCUAACUACGUG
rnacentral:rRNA from 1 species